rnacentral:tRNA from 1 species
GGAGGUAUAGCUUAGUGGUAGAGCCUGGGCUUGGCAUGCUUGAGGUCCUGGGUUCAAUCCCAGGGCUUCUG